rnacentral:lncRNA from 1 species
GGUAGUUCGUUGAUGCAAAAUUGUACACUGCCAAUGCAAACACCAGCUACAAACAGUAGUUUAAUAGCUUUUUGGGCCAACUAGCGUUAUAUCAGUGUUUUGACAAUGGAGACUUGUGGCUUGCAGGUGAAACACCGCUCCAAAUCAGUGAAAUUUUAAAAUUUCUGAUUUAACCAACAAACACAGGGCAACAAUUAUGAACCGCCAAUGUUCCACAGUGACCUCUUCGCAAAAAAAUGGUCCAAUUUCAGUUCAACAAUUCAACAACCAUGUCCAAUGGGUACCCAAACUUCCCCAAAUAAUUCAUAUUUCAAUUUAAACAAAUCUUGACGAUUCCCCUAAGGAAUGAUGUCGCCUGAUCUAUCAUUGGGAACCAUCAAGUAACACAAGUAUGGUCUUUCAAACAAUUUUCAGACCUCUCAUUCGCAUUAUCAACCUCAUCACCAUAUAUUAAUCAUUCAAAGCAAGUCUACAAUCAUUCAUGGAUUCUACCCAAGCACAUUUCUCAACAAAAAAACUAAAGAUUCACAUCAUGACGAAGUGAUCCUUAGUAAUGACGUCACCCAAUCCAUCAUAAGGCCCUCAUGCACUACGUAAACACAAAUGGGUUGCUCAGAAUUCACCUCCAACUAAAAUUUUAAGCAAUACAUACAAGAUUUCACAUGUUUUUCUACACAUUCAAGCUCAAACAACAUAGAUCUACUCAUUUAAAUCAAAAAAGCCCUUUUUCUGAGCAACAAAAUCAAGCACAAUACUUGGAUUUUGGGAAAAACUAGUUCUAACAUGGAACGAUUUUCACAUAUUAAUAAGCAUACAUACAAGAUUUCACAUGUUUUUAUACACAUUCAAGCUCAAACAACAUAAAUCUACU